rnacentral:lncRNA from 1 species
AUGACUUCUUCUGGCCAAUCAGUGCGUGUAUAUGAUGAGGAGGUGGAGGAGCCGGUGCUCAAGACUGAGGCAGAAAAACCAGAACAGGAAAAGACCCGGGAACAGAAAGAAGUGGAUCUGAUUCCUAAAGUCCAGGAGGCUGUGAACUACGGUUUGCAGGUGUUGGACAGUGCAUUUGAGCAACUAGACAUAAAAGCAGGAAGCUCAGACUCUGAAGAGGAUGAUGCUAAUGAGCGGAUGGAAUUGAUCCUUGAGCCAAAGGACCUGUACAUUGACCGCCCUUUACCUUAUUUAAUUGGGUCAAAGCUGUUCAUGGAGCAGGAAGAUGUAGGCCUGGGAGAGCUUUCUAGUGAAGAAGGUUCAGUGGGCAGUGAUCGUGGGAGUAUUGCAGACAGUGAGGAAGAGAACGAAGAAGAGGAGUCAGAUGAAGAUUUUGCCAAUCACAGUGACAGUGAUCAAAACCGGCACACGGCACAGAUGAGUGACGAAGAGGAGGACGAUGGUUGCGACCUUUUUGCUGACUCUGAGAAGGAGGAGGAGGAUGCUGAAGACGUUGACGAGCGUUCUAGACCCAAAAGAAGCAGGCCUACGUCAUUCGCUGAUGAACUGGCAGCUCGGAUCAAAGGGGACGCCUCAAGCCGGAUGGAAGAGGAGCGCGCAACCUUAUCCCCGGGGGAAGCAAAACCUCAGAAGACGUUGAAGGAGAAGAAGGAAAGGAAAACUCCCUCAGAUGAUGAAGAAGAUAACUUAUUCGCACCCCCGAAGCUGACAGAUGAAGACUUCUCGCCGUUUGGUUCUAGAGGCGGCCUGUUCAGUGGAGGGAAGGGACUUUUUGAUGAUGAGGAUGAGGAGAGUGACCUCUUCACAGAAGCCCCUCGGGAUCGGGGAGCUCGAACCCCUGUUAAUGAAGCAUCUUCAUCCUCUAAACCUGGAAAGAAAAUCCCGGCAGGAGCUGUUUCUGUGUUUUUAGGGGAUACUGACAUGUUCGGUGGCGCCUCUUCCCCGGCACUGAAGGAGCCCCAGAAGCACGAGCAGCCCCCUCCAGGGAAAAGCGCGCACGUCCCAGCAUCUGCUGGCCUCUUUGAUGAUGACGACGACGACGACGACUUUUUCGCGGCAUCCCGUAGCAAACCUCCCAAGACAGACAGAGUCAGACCCACUGCCAGCAUCUUCGACGAUGAAGGAGAUCUGUUCGAAGAAAAAGCAGUGGCUUUGCCAGAAGCGACUGUGAACCAGACAGACGAAGAUAAAGCAAGAGCAGAAACAAAGGUUAUGCUACCUUCCAGCAAAAAUCUCAAGCUUUCAUCGGAAACAAAGACUCACAAAGGCUUAUUUUCAGAUGAGGAGGACUCUGAGGAUUUGUUUUCUUCUCAAAGUGUGAGUAAGCCAAAAGAUGCAACUCUGCUGCCUGGCAAACCCCCCAGCUCAGUCUUGCUUUUCGAUGAUGAAGAUGGACAGGAUAAUCUUUUUGAUACUCCAGCUGCUAAGAAGCAGACAUCGGCUCUACUGACUCAGAGCCAAAAGAAAGCAAAGCCCUCUGAGCCUCCCAAAAAGAAAGCAUCUGCCUUACUGUUCAGCAGUGAUGAGGAGGACCAGUGGCAUAUUACUGACUCACAGACCAACUUGACAUCUGACAAGUCUAAAGGAGAUCUUAGGGACCCUGAGACCACCCACCAGGAGGUUAAGGCCUUGAAGAAGACCAGCCUCUUUGAGGAGGAUGACGAGGAUGACCUAUUUGCUGUUGCCAAGGACAGCCAGAAGAAGGCCCAGAGAGCAUCACUGCUGUUUGAGGACGACGGUGGCAGCGGAAGCUCCCUGCUCGGCUCUCCGCCCGCACCUGCCGCUCCCGCAGCCACGAAAAAAGAGACUGUCCCUGAAGUACCGCCUUUGCUGUUCAGCGAUGGAGAAGAAAAGGCGGCGCAGUCUGGAGUGAAACCUGCAGCGAAGAAGGCUGAGCGUGCCCAGGGGACCUCGGAAUUGGGGAGAACUCCUGUGGUCAAGGAGCCAGGAAAGGAAGGAUCUUUGAAUGCACCUACUCAGGAAACAGCCAAGAACUCUGAUUUGUUUUCUUCGUCGUCCCCAUUGGACAAAGGACCUAAAAGUAGAACCAAAACGGUUCUUAGCUUAUUUGAUGAGGAAGAGGAUAAAACAGAAGAUCAAAGCAGCUUCCAGGCUCUGAAAAAGGAAGCAGGAAAGAGUCCUGAUCCUGGUACCCGCCCCAAGAGCACAGGUGUCUUUCAGGAUGAAGAGCUCCUUUUUAGUCACAAGCUCCAAAAGGACAACGACCCAGAUGUUGACCUUUUCUCUGGCACCAAAAAAUCCAGGUUGUUCGAGCCCAGUGUGGGGAGCCUGUUCGGAGACGACGAAGACGAUGAUCUCUUCGGCUCUGCCAAGUCACAGCCUUCGAUCCCAGGAAAGAAGAAGGUAGUGAAAAAAGACAACUCUGUCUUUUCCUCUGUCAAGAACCAGAAGCAUCCUGAAUCCACUCAGGGUAUCAAAGAAAAAGACACAUGGAAAUCGGAAACAUCUCAGGACUCACCAGGUCCCGCUCCACUUAAAACCAAAGAGCCAUCCCCUCGGAUCUGGAAAAUACAAGCAAAUUUAGCGAUCAACCCAGCAGCCUUGCUGCCUCCAGCAGCUCCCCAGAUCUCUGGAAUGAAGUCUGUUUUGCCAGAAUCUGGUGUUCCUUCGUCUGAACCUGGAAGGAUGCAGAGUCUGGAAAGUGUGCCCACUCCUGGGAGUGGGGAGGCUGGUGUGAGUUUUGACCUUCCCGCUCAGGCAGAUACCUUACACUGUGCAAACAAGACCCGGGUCAAAGUGAGAGGGAAGCGCAGACCACAGACACGUGCCGCCCGGCAGCUGGCUGCCCAGGAGUCCACCGAGGCCGAGGAUAUGGGUUCCCCCACGGGAUUUGUGGCACAGUUGACAGAUGGCACCACAUCACCAGGUGGUCGUCAGCCACCGCUGAGGGCAGUUGGUGGAGCAGACACCCCUGAAGAAGCAGUGGCAGCUGCCACUCCAACGUGGGCAGGUGGUCCUGUGCCUGGAAUGAACAGUGGCCCGUUUGCGAAAUCUGUGGGUCAGCCUCUUGAGGAUGAUCUGUUUGAUUCUGCAGAUAUCUUUUCCAAGGGCAUUGCAUCUCAGUCCUCAGGAAGAAGAAAAACCAAAGCGAAGGCAGCCGGCAGCCUGGCCAACCUGGGGGAGGGAAGUAAAGACAGACGCCCCAUGUUCCCUGCUCUCGGUGAGGCGGGCAGUGAUGAUGAUCUCUUUCAGUCUGCUAAACCAAAACCAGCAAAGAAGACAAAUCCUUUCCCUCUCCUGGAAGAUGAGGACGAUCUGUUUACAGACCAGAGAGGCACAAAGAAUGGGUCAAAAUCCAACAGUCAACAGGAUAUUAUCUCAAAAGCACAAGAUAUAUUUGAGGAUGAUAUAUUUGCUACAGAAGCAAUUAAACCCUCACAGAAAACAAGAGAGAAGGAAAGAACAUUUGACUCCAACUUAUUCGAUGAUAACAUUGAUAUCUUUGCUGACCUAACUGUAAAACCAAAAGAAAAGUCUAAAAAGAAAGUGGAAGCUAAGUCUAUAUUUGACGAUGAUACAGAUGACAUCUUCUCCUCUGGUAUCCAGACUAAGACAACCAAAUCAAAAAGUGGAUCUUCACAGACAGUGACUGAAUCAAGAUCUGGACAGAAGGUUUCCAACAUAUUUGAUGACCCCUUGAAUGCCUUUGGAGGCCAGUAGAGUGUCCAGGGUAUCUUUCAGCUACAUCCUUGGGUCAAUGAUGCUGUCUUCUGUGCUCCUUAACUGAAUUAUAGAAAACGAACACUGAAACAGCUUACUCGCCUCUUACCCAGCAUACUUAAUAUUUUUCUGUACUGGUUUUAAAAUCAUGCUUAAUUCUGCAAACAAAAAUAAAUGUCUCACAGUGUUACUAU